UGGGUCAGUGAGGAGAAGUCAUCAUCUUUCAUUUUGAGUCUCACAGCCAUAAGAUAAAGUCAUGCACUGCUCUGAGACUGA